AACUAGUUGCUCGGCCUCCGCAGCUCCAGCUCCCCGCACCCCAAAGCGCCAGGCCCUGGCCGCUCAUGAUGGAUCUACGGGGAAAGCAGAUCGCCUCUGUUUUUCGGCCCGCCGGUAGCCGUGAUUGGAUACAUGUGACAUUUGUUUUUACUGGAAAACUGAAUCAAAACUUGGUCGACCCACAGCUGCAGCACGAGCCAAGGCCCCAUCGUUUCUCAUCCAGUCAAAAUAAAAACACGGGGAUUGAUGCAGCUCUCGUUUACGGCGAAUGAAAGAAACAUGAGAUUGAUUUUUUUUUUUCUCGUUUGACAUCUGCUUGCUUUGAUAUUCCGCAGCCGAAAUGUUAGCUGCUACCUCAAAGUAGAAGCAAAGUUAAGGCUGCAUUGAUCCGAGUUCAAAACAAAUCUGUCUGAAAGGACAGACUGCAUCAACACCAGCUGGAGAAACCACUUCACGUUCACAUACUUGGAGCCACGGCAUUGACAAACUUAAUACAAAACAUUUUAUAUAUUUAAUAUAUAGUAUAACUGGCCUAUGAAUGAAUGUAUUUACUUACAUUGGCCUCAAGUAAAGGGAACUGAAACAA